rnacentral:rRNA from 1 species
UACGUAGGUGGCAAGCGUUGUCCGGAAUUAUUGGGCGUAAAGCGCGCGCAGGCGGCCUCUUAAGUCUGAUGUGAAAGCCCACGGCUCAACCGUGGAGGGUCAUUGGAAACUGGGGGGCUUGAGUGCAGAAGAGGAGAGUGGAAUUCCACGUGUAGCGGUGAAAUGCGUAGAGAUGUGGAGGAACACCAGUGGCGAAGGCGACUUUCUGGUCUGUAACUGACGCUGAGGCGCGAAAGCGUGGGGAGCAAACAGG